UGUAAAUCUGAUAUCGUCGCCAUAGCUUUGAUUGUCGACUGAACAUAAAAACCUCGCCACCGUGCGGGGUUUU
rnacentral:sRNA from 1 species